AGUGAACGCUGGCGGCAGGCCUAACACAUGCAAGUCGAGCGGCAGCGGGUCCUUCGGGAUGCCGGCGAGCGGCGGACGGGUGAGGAAUACAUCGGAAUCUGCCCUGUCGUGGGGGAUAACCUAGGGAAACUUAGGCUAAUACCGCAUACGACCUACGGGUGAAAGCGGGGGAUCGCAAGACCUCGCGCGACAGGAUGAGCCGAUGUCCGAUUAGCUAGUUGGCGGGGUAAAGGCCCACCAAGGCGACGAUCGGUAGCUGGUCUGAGAGGAUGAUCAGCCAAACGGGAGAUAGAGACCGCCCCCGAAUCUCAGGGGGGGAGGGAGGGGGGAAAUUGGGAAAAGGGGGGGAAGCCUGUACCCCCCAGGCCGGGGGGGUGAAGAAGGCCUUUGGGUGGUAAAGCCCUUUUUGCCGGGAAAAAAUCGGCUGGGUUAAUACCCCGGGGGGAUGACGGUACCGGAAGAAUAAGCACCGGCUAACUGCGG
rnacentral:rRNA from 1 species